GAUGAACGCUGGCGGCGUGCCUAAUACAUGCAAGUCGAGCGAAUGGAUUAAGAGCUUGCUCUUAUGAAGUUAGCGGCGGACGGGUGAGUAACACGUGGGUAACCUGCCCAUAAGACUGGGAUAACUCCGGGAAACCGGGGCUAAUACCGGAUAACAUUUUGAACCGCAUGGUUCGAAAUUGAAAGGCGGCUUCGGCUGUCACUUCUGGAUGGACCCGCGUCGCCUUAGCUAGUUGGUGAGGUAACGGCUCACCAAGGCAACGAUGCGUAACCGACCUGAGAGGGUGAUCGGCCACACUGGGACUGAGACACGGCCCAGCCUCCUACGGGAGGCAGCAGUAGGGAAUCUUCCGCAAUGGACGAAAGUCUGACGGAGCAACGCCGCGUGAGUGAUGAGGGCUUUCGGGUCGUAAAACUCUGUUGUUAGGGAAGAACAAGUGCUAGUUGAAUAAGCUGACACCUUGACGGUACCUAACCAGAAAGCCACGGCUAACUACGUGCCAGCCGCCGCCGUAA
rnacentral:rRNA from 1 species